rnacentral:rRNA from 1 species
UGGGGAAUCUUCCGCAAUGGGCGAAAGCCUGACGGAGCAACGCCGCGUGAGUGAAGACGGCCUUCGGGUUGUAAAGCUCUGUUAUAUGGGACGAACGGGCGUAUGGUCAAUACCCAUACGCCGUGACGGUACCGUAAGAGAAAGCCACGGCUAACUACGUGCCAGCAGCCGCGGUAAUACGUAGGUGGCAAGCGUUGUCCGGAAUCAUUGGGCGUAAAGGGCGCGCAGGCGGUUCGGUAAGUCGGUCUUAAAAGUGCGGGGCUUAACCCCGUGAUGGGAUUGAAACUGCCGGACUGGAGUGUCGGAGAGGAAAGCAGAAUUCCUAGUGUAGCGGUGAAAUGCGUAGAUAUUAGGAGGAAUACCAGUGGCGAAAGCGGCUUUCUGGACGACAACUGACGCUGAGGCGCGAAAGCCAGGGGAGCAAACGGGAUUAGAUACCCCGGUAGUCCUGGCCGUAAACGAUGGGUACUAGGUGUAGGAGGUAUCGACCC